rnacentral:rRNA from 1 species
AAAACUUUCAACAACGGAUCUCUUGGUUCUGGCAUCGAUGAAAAACCCCAGCGAAAUGCCAUAAGUAAUGCGAAUUGCAGAAUUCCGCGAGCCAUCGAAUCUUUGAACGCACAUUGCGCCCUCCGGCAUUCCGGAGGGCAUGCCUGUCCGAGCGUAUC